GGACCAAUUGGGGACCUGAAAGCCAUCAACGCUUCCUCUUGCUCUGAUUGGAAGGCACCACCCGUCGCUCACCUUGGAUGAGAGCGAGCACAAACUGCCAAGAUGAAGCAUUACGAGGUGGAGAUUCUGGAUGCCAAGACCAAGGACAAACUCUGCUUCCUGGACAAGGUUGAGCCAAAUGCCACUAUUGGGGAGAUCAAGUCUAUGUUCCACAAAAGCCAUCCUCAAUGGUACGCAGCCAGACAGUCCAUCCGUCUAGACCCAAG